rfam:Strongyloides venezuelensis genome assembly, scaffold: SVE_scaffold0000007
CACCGCCCGUCGCUGCCCGGAACUGAGCAAUAUCGAGAGGCAGGAAGAGAUACAAAAAAUAUUUAUAUUUUUUUGUGUUAAAUCCUUUCAAUCGCUGUUGUUUGAACCGGGCAAAAGUCGUAACAAGGUUUUCGUAGGUGAACCUGCGAAAG